rnacentral:rRNA from 1 species
GACGUAGGGCGCGAGCGUUGUCCGGAUUUAUUGGGCGUAAAGAGCUCGUAGGCGGCUUGUCGCGUCGAAUGUGAAAUCCUGCGGCUCAACUGCAGGCUUGCAUUCGAUACGGGCAGGCUCGAGUUCGGUAGGGGAUACUGGAAUUCCUGGUGUAGCGGUGAAAUGCGCAGAUAUCAGGAGGAACACCGGUGGCGAAGGCGGGUCUCUGGGCCGAUACUGACGCUGAGGAGCGAAAGCGUGGGGAGCGAACAGG